AGAUUUAUAUAUUCAUUAUAUAUAUAUGAGUACACUGCAGCUGAACAGAUGGUUGUGAGCCUUCAUGUGGUUGUUGGGAAUUGAAUUUUAGAACCUCUGCUCGCUCUGGUUGGCCCCACUCGCUCCGGUUAACCCCGCUCAUUCCCUCCUCGCUUAGGCCCAAAGAUUUAUUUAUUAUUAUACAUAAGUACACUGUAGCUGUCUUCAGAUGUGCCAGAAGAGGGCGUCAGAUCUCAUUACAGGUGGUUGUGAGCCACCAUGUGGUUGCUGGGAUUUGAACUCAAGAUCUUCGGAAGAGCAGUCAGUGCUCUUACCUGCUGAGACAUCUCACCAGCCCCUCACACAACCUUUAUAUUUACAAUAAGCCUUAAACAGCACAAGAGCCAGGCAGAUAUCUACCCUCUAUGCUAUUAGAACCUACUUUUCUAUCGAUAACCCUGAGUUAUUACUAUGUUUUGUCUGGGCUGCUCUUAAUUCCAAUUGGCUAGCCCUUAGGGCAAUGCUUUUUGACUCCUAACUCAUGGUGUCUUCAUCUUCCUCCUCCUCCUCUUCCUCUUCUUCCUCCUCCCCUUCCUCCUCCCCUUCUUCUUCCUCCUCUCCCUCCUCCUCCUCCUCAUUCUCCUCUGACCCCUAGGCCCAGGAAUCUUAAACCCCACCUGUCUCUUCUACUCAGCUAUUGGCUGUUGGCAUCUUUAUUACCAAUCAGAAAUAACUUGUGGGAAGAGUCAUUUGGGUCUAUGUUCAGACUCCAGGUUUUGGGAGCCCACACUCAGGUCUUGAGGGCCCACACUUAGCAUUACAAUAGAGAGUAAGACCAAACCUUCACAAGCAUGAACACAGCCUCCUGCCACGGGUUGAAGAAGCAGGAAACUCUCUUCUGGGCCUUACAAAUCAUGGGCCAAUUUAAACUCUUUUUCUCUUUCCAUACUUAAUCUUAGGUGAUAGCAGUGGAAAGAAGACUAAGACAGACUCCAUCUAGAAACCAGAAUGACCUCUUUUAUGGAAAAAGAGACUGUAUCACUCGUGUUUCUACCC
rnacentral:lncRNA from 1 species